rnacentral:misc_RNA from 1 species
AUUUCUUGACACAAUUUCUUAUAAGAAUGUAUAAAAGUAGAGGUCAUUCGUGUGCUGUUUGCAAAUCCAAUAUAGGGAACAGAGCCUUGCUACGAGCAAUGCAUGCAAUUCAAUCGCUUUCUGUUGAACAGAGAUGAGUCGCAAGCUUGAGCACUCCAUGCAUGGAUGAAUCAUUCAGAUAGAGAAUGUCAAAAGCUUUUCG